AGCUCCAAAUUACAGUCAAUGGAAAUUUAGUCAAUACAGGUAGAAAGGCUGCAAAUUCAGAUGUCUACUUUAGAAUAGAACUAAAUCUCUGGCUCUUCACUGAGAGCCUACAUGCCAGAGAUGCUCUUCAACUCCUUCCUGAGAUAACUACUUUAAGGUUUCAACUAAAGAGGUGGCCCAUCCGUGUAUGCCAUAUCCUGAGCACAAGCCCAAGGUUGUGCCUCAGCAUAGGCACAGGACUGGAGGACUUUCAGAGGACAAUGAGAAUGACCAAGUCUGUGAAAACCACCACUGCAGGAAUCAAACAGAAAGUGUCUAGUGUCCAUGAUACCUUUGUUAUGCAAGUGUCAAUCAGGAAAAGUUAAAGUUGUUGAACAAGAGCUACCAUGUCUUAAAAGCAAACAAAUAAAUAAAUACAAUGCCUCCCCUUCCUGCCUAGUAAAGGAUUUGGCUGUCUUACAUAAGAGGAACGGGGAUGUGGAGUCAAUUCAGAUGGUUCACAGCUACUCUCCACCCUGUCCUAAUCGGAAGCUGAAAGACUGGGCUGUGAAGGUGAGAAAGAAGGGUUCAUGAACCCCAUAUGCUUCCCCAUAUGGUUCAUUUGGACUUCAGUCCCAAGGAGUCAGCAAGGACUCCUCAAUCCAGACCUAUGUAGGGGAUCAUUCUGCAAGAAUAGCCUGUUGCCUGAGUUUGCAGGGAGCAAGAACAAAGGCUGCUUUAUGACCACAGUUAACCAGGUUUCUGCCUUCUUCAUAUCAUUAGAGGG